UCGGGUAUGGUGUAACGGCUAACAUUGCCGCCUCUCAUGUAUAUGUGCGCGGCAGCUCGGGGUUCGAUUCCCCGUACCCGAA